UUAUGCCGCGUGAGUGAAGAAGGCUUUGGGUUGUAAAGCUCUUUUGUAGGGGAAGAUAAUGACUGUACCCUAAGAAUAAGGUCCGGCUAACUUCGUGCCAGCAGCCGCGGUAAUACGAAGGGACCUAGCGUAGUUCGGAAUUACUGGGCGUAAAGCGCGCGUAGGCCGUUGAGUUAGUUAAUUGUGAAAUCCCAAAGCUUAACUUUGGAACUGCAAUUAAAACUGCUCGACUAGAGUUUGAUAAAGGAAAGCGGAAUACAUAGUGUAGAGGUGAAAUUCGUAGAUAUUAUGUAGAACACCAGUUGCGAAGGCGGCUUUCUGGGUCAACACUGACGCUGAGGCGCGAAAGUAUGGGUAGCAAAGAGGAUUGGAUACCCUCGUAGUCCAUACCAUAAACGAUGAUUGCUAGAUGUUGGAAAUUUAUUUUCAGUAUCGCAGCUAACGCAUUAAGCAAUCCGCCUGGGGAGUACGACCGCAAGGUUAAAACUCAAAUGAAUUGACGGGGACCCGCACAAGCGGUGGAGCAUGUGGUUUAAUUCGAAGAUACGCGCAGAACCUUACCAAGCCUUGACAUGUCUGUCGCGAGUUUAGGAAACUAGA
rnacentral:rRNA from 1 species